AUUGAACGCUGGCGGCAUGCCUUACACAUGCAAGUUGAACGGCAGCACGGGGCAACCUGGUGGCGAGUGGCGAACGGGUGAGUAAUGCAUCGGAACGUACCUUUCAGUGGGGGAUAACGUAGCGAAAGUUACGCUAAUACCGCAUAUUCUGUGAGCAGGAAAGCAGGGGAUCGCAAGACCUUGCGCUGAUUGAGCGGCCGAUGUCAGAUUAGCUAGUUGGUGAGGUAAAGGCUCACCAAGGCGACGAUCUGUAGCGGGUCUGAGAGGGUGAUCCGCCACACUGGAACUGAGACACGGGCCAGACUCCUACGGGAGGCAGCAGUGGGGAAUUUUGGACAAUGGGGGCAACCCUGAUCCAGCCAUGCCGCGUGAGUGAAGAAGGCCUUCGGGUUGUAAAGCUCUUUCGGCCGGGAAGAAAUCGCACGGGCUAAUACCCUGUGUGGAUGACGGUACCGGAAUAAGAAGCACCGGCUAACUACGUGCCAGCCGCCGCCGUAACAC
rnacentral:rRNA from 1 species